CUUCUACAAUAAAAGGUGAUCCUCUUUUCUACAGCUUAUUUAGACUAGAGAACUACCCGAGAGAAGAUAGUCACAGACACACAGACAGAGAUUAAUCAAGGGGGAGGGACUGGAGGUUUAUCACUUCAUACAAACGCCCCACAGACACAGGUGAGCUGAUAAGGCUGUCCGGGGCGCUCAUUCAAACACAGAACGUCUGGAGAGCUGUGUGUUCUAACCCAACAGAGAAGAGUGAAAUAUAUUGAGUGAGCAUAAAGUUACCUCAGGAUAUAAAGACAGACACAGUCACUGCUGCAGGAACCAGUCCAUAAAUGGAACAAUCUCAACCUGGAAUCCAAGGUCAUGGCAAUUGUGGCAAAUUUUAGCAAAGAGUUGCCCAAAGGCCAACUAGACCCUUCAACUGAGUGACCUUGAACUCACUAACUGA
rnacentral:lncRNA from 13 species